GCGAAGUGCGGAGACGGGGUUUUGGAGACGGUGGAUGGAGGAGGGGGAGGGAAAGCUGCCAACUUUGGAUACCAACCCCGUACACCCACCGAAGGGGAUGUCCCACUUUUUCCAGCGCUGGGAGCAAAAAGAUAACAGUGAGCGAGGUUGAAAAAUUAUAAAGUAUCCCAGGACAGUGCUCUGUAACCAGCCCAUAGUAGCUACUGCUAUUUUACCAGCUACUGUAUCUUUCCUUCUUUGAUUUCCAGCACCUGACAGUGAAAAGAGCAAUUUGAAGAAAAACAAAAUUUAUCUUCAAUGUGAAAAGCAAUUUAUAAAAAUCCGAAUACUUGCCAGGAGCAACUUGACAAAAAAGACAAAGGUGGUAGAAGAAAUGUAACCAGCCCACAAUUCCAAUGUUGAUAACAGAUGAGCUCCCUUUCAAGGUGACUGACAUUUACACAAGUACACAGAGCAAGAAGAAGGUCUGAGUGAACUGCCAAGCAUUUUAACUUCUCCUGAGACCAAGUACAUCAACAGUUCUCUUGGAAAAGAACAACUGAUUUGGGAGUCUAGCAGACUGCCAGCUGCAAGACAUUCAUCCAGCAUCAGGAACACAAUGGGCCUUCAUUUGCCUGCCUUUCUGAGGGCACCAAUCAAAAGUAACAGCUGCCACCUUUUUCUAUGAGACUUGAUUAUAAUUUUCUAUGGCCAAGGGUUUGCUGUGACACUUCCACAUCAUUCUUCAGUAUGUAGUCCAGAGAUUAGCUACAGAUUCAAGAAACACAGACUGUAAACUAUUAUAUACAGACAUAUCUCAAAAUAAGCAUACCCAUUAGUGCCAGCUGCCCUGAAAGACUGAAUGACCCCAGCUAUUUUCCAAAUGUUUUUUCAGAAAGCCAUGAACACACCUUUCUGGGAUCCUAUCUAUUUCAAAGACAGGCAAAGCUCUGUGGUUCAGUUCCACCACCCAGUACCAAGCCCACAGUAUGCAGACCAUACGCCUUACACAUGGCCUUUUCUCUUUAUGUAAUUGCUGUACCAUAUUCAGCAGAUCUAGACUGACUCAAAGCAUGUUCCCUCAAGAAGCUCCACAGAAAAAAAGGUUUCUGUGAUCAAAAAUCAUUUGGGAAAUGCUGCAAACCCUAUCUGCCUCUUAGAGCUUAACC
rnacentral:lncRNA from 1 species